rnacentral:rRNA from 1 species
UACGUAGGGGGCGAGCGUUGUCCGGAUUUAUUGGGCGUAAAAGGCUUGUAGGUGGCCACGUCAAGUCGGAUGUGAAAUCUCCCGGCUCAACUGGGAGGGGUCAUUCGAUACUGGCGGGCUCGAGGCCGGUAGGGGGAAGCGGAAUUCCCGGUGUAGUGGUGGAAUGCGUAGAUAUCGAGAGGAACACCAGUGGCGAAGGCGAGUCCCUGGACAACUCCUGACACUGAGGCACGAAAGCUAGGGGAGCAAACAGG